rnacentral:misc_RNA from 1 species
CCAAACUUGGUCAUUUAGAGGAAGUAAAAGUCGUAACAAGGUCUCCGUUGGUGAACCAGCGGAGGGAUCAUUAUAGAGUUUAUAAAACUCCAAACCCAUGUGAACUUACCAUUGUUGCCUCGGUGGGACCUACCCUGUAGCUAUCCUGGAGCGGCCUACCCUGUAGCGCCUACCCUGGAACGGCUUACCCGGUAGCGUACCACCGGUGGAUUUUUAAACUCUUGUUAAUUAUAGUGAAAUCUGAGCGUCUUAUUUUAAAUAAGUCAAAACUUUCAACAACGGAUCUCUUGGUUCUGGCAUCGAUGAAGAACGCAGC